rnacentral:rRNA from 1 species
GGAUUAGAUACCCUGGUAGUCCACGCCGUAAACGAUGUCUACUAGUCGUUGGGUCCCUUGAGGACUUAGUGACGCAGCUAACGCAAUAAGUAGACCGCCUGGGGAGUACGGCCGCAAGGUUAAAACUCAAAUGAAUUGACGGGGGCCCGCACAAGCGGUGGAGCAUGUGGUUUAAUUCGAUGCAACGCGAAGAACCUUACCUGGUCUUGACAUAUCUAGAAUCCUGCAGAGAUGCGGGAGUGCCUUCGGGAAUUAGAAUACAGGUGCUGCAUGGCUGUCGUCAGCUCGUGUCGUGAGAUGUUGGGUUAAGUCCCGCAACGAGCGCAACCCUUGUCCUUAGUUACCAGCGGGUUAAGCCGGGAACUCUAAGGAUACUGCCAGUGACAAACUGGAGGAAGGCGGGGACGACGUCAAGUCAUCAUGGCCCUUACGACCAGGGCUACACACGUGCUACAAUGGUAGGUACAGAGGGCAGCUACACAGCGAUGUGAUGCGAAUCUCAAAAAGCCUAUCGUAGUCCAGAUUGGAGUCUGCAACUCGACUCCAUGAAGUAGGAAUCGCUAGUAAUCGCGGAUCAGAAUGCCGCGGUGAAUACGUUCCCGGGCCUUGUACACACCGCCCGUCACACCAUGGGAGUUGAUUGCACCAGAAGUGGAUAGCCUAACCGUAAGGAAGGCGUUCACCACGGUGUGGUUGAUGACUGGGGUGAAGUCGUAACAAG